rnacentral:rRNA from 1 species
ACACAUGCAAGUCGAGGGGCAGCGCGGGAUAGCAAUAUCCUGGCGGCGACCGGCGGAAGGGUGCGUAACGCGUGAGCGACAUGCCCGUUGCCCGGGGACAACCGGUGGAAACGCCGACUAAUCCCCGAUGGGAUAUUGUGCCGCAUGGCACGAUAUUGAAAGUUACGGCGGCGACGGAUUGGCUCGCGUCCGAUUAGCUUGUUGGCGGGGUAACGGCCCACCAAGGCUACGAUCGGUAGGGGUUCUGAGAGGAAGGCCCCCCACAAUGGGACUGAGACACGGCCCAUACUCCUACGGGAGGCAGCAGUGAGGAAUAUUGGUCAAUGGGCGGAAGCCUGAACCAGCCAUGCCGCGUGCGGGAAGGAGGCCCUAUGGGCUGUGAACCGCUUUUGCCUGGGGGCAAUAAGGGCGUCGCGCACGCCCGACGAGAGUACCAGGCGAAUAAGCAUCGGCUAACUCCGUGCCAGCAGCCGCGGUAAUACGGGGGAUGCGAGCGUUAUCCGGAUUCAUUGGGUUUAAAGGGUGCGUAGGCUGUGCGUCAAGUCGGGGGUGAAAUUCCGGUGCUCAACACCGGGGCUGCCCUUGAUACUGUCGCGCUGGAGUGCGGAUGCCGCCGGAGGAAUGAGUGGUGUAGCGGUGAAAUGCUUAGAUAUCACUCAGAACACCGAUUGCGAAGGCAUCUGGCGAAUCCGUAACUGACGCUGAGGCACGAAAGCGUGGGGAUAGAACAGGAUUAGAUACCCUGGUAUUCCACGCCGUAAACGAUGAUGGCUAACCGCCGGCGACACACUGUCGGUGGCCAAG